AAUGUACGAGCAAGUGAUAUGUUGAAACAAUUGCUUGGAGCAUGUUUAGUCCAGAUCAUCCCAAAAUGACAUUGUAGACUGAAGGAAUCCAAACCACGAGGAAGUUAAGUCACACAAUUGAUUGCCAAGAUUGUUGUUCGAUGGUGAUGAAAAGUUCUAUCUCUCCUUCCACCUUGAUCGAGUCACCAAUAAAUCCAAUUAAAGGCAUAUUGACUAGUUUUAAUUGGUUAGUAGGAAGUC
rnacentral:lncRNA from 1 species